AUGCCUUACACAUGCAAGUCGAACGGCAGCACGGGAGCUUGCUCCUGGUGGCGAGUGGCGAACGGGUGAGUAAUACAUCGGAACGUACCCUGAAGUGGGGGAUAACGUAGCGAAAGUUACGCUAAUACCGCAUAUUCUGUGAGCAGGAAAGAGGGGGAUCGCAAGACCUCUUGCUUUAGGAGCGGCCGAUGUCGGAUUAGCUGGUUGGUGAGGUAAAGGCUCACCAAGGCGACGAUCCGUAGCGGGUCUGAGAGGAUGAUCCGCCACACUGGGACUGAGACACGGCCCAGACUCCUACGGGAGGCAGCAGUGGGGAAUUUUGGACAAUGGGCGCAAGCCUGAUCCAGCCAUGCCGCGUGAGUGAAGAAGGCCUUCGNGUUGUAAAGCUCUUUCGGUGGGGAAGAAAUUGCUUCGGUUAAUACCUGGAGUAGAUGACGGUACCCGCACA
rnacentral:rRNA from 1 species